UCUUCUCCAUGGGAGACAUCUCCCUCCUUUCUCUCCUCCCUUUCUCCACUGCACUUUCUGUCUGGAUCUCUAUGCUGGCAUUCUCCUCAACCCAAAACCACCAUUGCAUCCAUGGGGAUCUACACGUUUGACAGCGACGAAGAAAAACGUAUCCUAGAUUCGGAUACACGAAACCUGUAUCCGGAUACCCUUCCUUCGAAAAAUCAUGGAAAACGUGGAUCCAGAUACGCGAGACCUGUAUCUGGAUACGCUUGCUUCACAAAUUCAUGGAAAACCUCUUUUUACGGGAUCCGAAUACAUCUGCUUGUCUUCUUCAUCCGCUUGAGUCAUCAUCAUCAAACGCCUUCGUCCUUUGUUGCAAAAGCAUGGCGAGGCACAUGCCAAACUCCUCAAUGUAAAAUUGUUAUGGAAUUAUAGAAAUAGUAGAGGGGC
rnacentral:lncRNA from 1 species